AGGACUAUACUCUUUAGGAUCAUUUCUAUAGUUCAUGUCCUCGUCUUGCUCUCCAAGCGAGACAAACUCCUUAACCCUGCUGAGGAGCAGUGGUGCGGAUCCCUCAAGUGGGAAGCGCGGUCGAGGUUGCGGGUUUUCCCCGUGACCUUCGAACCGAUUGAUGACUGCCGCGGCCCCCGUCUUUUUAAAGGGUUUGGGGCUUGCGGGGGGCUCCGCGCGUUCUGAAGGGU